rnacentral:rRNA from 1 species
UACGUAGGGUGCGAGCGUUGUCCGGAAUUAUUGGGCGUAAAGAGCUCGUAGGCGGUCUGUCGCGUCGAUCGUGAAAACUUGGGGCUUAACCCUGAGCCUGCGGUUGAUACGGGCAUGACUGGAGUUCGGCAGGGGAGACUGGAAUUCCUGGUGUAGCGGUGAAAUGCGCAGAUAUCAGGAGGAACACCGGUGGCGAAGGCGGGUCUCUGGGCCGAUACUGACGCUGAGGAGCGAAAGCGUGGGGAGCGAACAGG